rnacentral:rRNA from 1 species
GACGUAGGGAGCAAGCGUUGCCCGGAAUCAUUGGGCGUAAAGCGCGCGUAGGUGGCUCUAUAAGUCCGUUGUGAAAGUCAAAGGCUCAACCUUUGAAAGCCGAUGGAUACUGUGGAGCUAGAGUACGGAAGAGGCGAGUGGAAUUCCUGGUGUAGCGGUGGAAUGCGCAGAUAUCAGGAGGAACACCAAUAGCGAAGGCAGCUCGCUGGGACGUUACUGACACUGAGGCGCGAAAGCGUGGGGAGCGAACAGG